rnacentral:rRNA from 1 species
GAUGAACGCUGGCGGUAUGCUUAACACAUGCAAGUCGAACGGACUCUUCGGAGUUAGUGGCGGACGGGUGAGUAACGCGUGAGAAUCUGGCUUUGGGUUCGGGACAACCACUGGAAACGGUGGCUAAUACCGGAUGUGCCGAGAGGUAAAAGAGAAAUUGCCUGAAGAUGAGCUCGCGUCUGAUUAGCUAGUUGGUGAGGUAAAGGCUCACCAAGGCAGCGAUCAGUAGCUGGUCUGAGAGGAUGACCAGCCACACUGGGACUGAGACACGGCCCAGACUCCUACGGGAGGCAGCAGUGGGGAAUUUUCCGCAAUGGGCGAAAGCCUGACGGAGCAAUACCGCGUGAGGGAAGAAGGCUCUUGGGUUGUAAGCCUCUUUUCUUAGGGAAGAACAAAAUGACGGUACCUAAGGAAUCAGCAUCGGCUAACUCCGUG